GACGAACGCUGGCGGCGUGCCUAAUACAUGCAAGUAGAACGCUGAAGGAGGAGCUUGCUUCUCUGGAUGAGUUGCGAACGGGUGAGUAACGCGUAGGUAACCUGCCUGGUAGCGGGGGAUAACUAUUGGAAACGAUAGCUAAUACCGCAUAAGAGUAGAUGUUGCAUGACAUUUGCUUAAAAGGUGCAAUUGCAUCACUACCAGAUGGACCUGCGUUGUAUUAGCUAGUUGGUGGGGUAACGGCUCACCAAGGCGACGAUACAUAGCCGACCUGAGAGGGGGAUCGGCCACACUGGGACUGAGACACGGCCCAGACUUCUACGGGAGGCAGCAGGAGGGAAUCUUCGGCAAUGGACGGAAGUCUGACCGAGCAACGCCGCGUGAGGGAAGAAGGUUCUCGGAUCGUAAAGCUCUGUUGUAAGAGAAGAACGAGUGUGAGAGUGGAAAGUUCACACUGUGACGGUAUCUUACCAGAAAGGGACGGCUAACUACGUG
rnacentral:rRNA from 1 species